AUACGGAGGGUGCAAGCGUUAAUCGGAAUUACUGGGCGUAAAGCGUACGUAGGCGGUUCGUUAAGUUAGAUGUGAAAGCCCCGGGCUUAACCUGGGAACUGCAUUUAAAAUUGGCGAACUAGAGUUGAGUAGAGGGGAGUGGAAUUUCAGGUGUAGCGGUGAAAUGCGUAGAGAUCUGAAGGAACACCAGUGGCGAAGGCGACUCCCUGGACUCGAACUGACGCUGAGGUACGAAAGCGUGGGUAGCAAACGGGAUUAGAAACCCUAGUAGUCC
rnacentral:rRNA from 1 species